rnacentral:rRNA from 1 species
AUACGUAGGUGGCAAGCGUUGUCCGGAAUUAUUGGGCGUAAAGCGCAUGUAGGCGGUGCCUUAAGUCUGUCGUGAAACUGCGGGGCCUAACCCCGUAUGGCGAUGGAAACUGUGGCACUUGAGUGCAGGAGAGGAAAGGGGAACUCCCAGUGUAGCGGUGAAAUGCGUAGAUAUUGGGAAGAACACCGGUGGCGAAGGGGCCUUUCUGGACUGUGUCUGACGCUGAGAUGCGAAAGCCAGGGUAGCGAACGGGAUUAGAUACCCCGGUAGUCCUGGCCGUAAACGAUGGGUACUAGGUGUGGGAGGUAUCGACCCCUUCCGUGCCGGAGUUAACGCAAUAAGUACCCCGCCUGGGGAGUACGGCCGCAAGGCUUAAACUUAAAGGAAUUGACGGGG